UGUCUGCUUUAAAAUAAGAGAAGGGCAUAUAGGGAGAGUGCAUAUACUGCAAUCGUAGCGGACUUCUCCUUCUGCGGAAGUUAGCGGCGGACGGGUGAGUAACACGUAGGCAACCUGCCCACAAGACCGGGAUAACAUUCGGAAACGAAUGCUAAGACCGGAUACGCAAGCCUGGGGCAUCCCGGGCUUGGGAAACACGGCGCAAGCUGUGGCUUGUGGAUGGGCCUGCGGCGCAUUAGCUAGUUGGCGGGGUAACGGCCCACCAAGGCGACGAUGCGUAGCCGACCUGAGAGGGUGAACGGCCACACUGGGACUGAGACACGGCCCAGACUCCUACGGGAGGCAGCAGUAGGGAAUCUUCCACAAUGGGCGAAAGCCUGAUGGAGCAACGCCGCGUGAGUGAGGAAGGCUUUCGGGUCGUAAAGCUCUGUUGCCAGGGAAGAAUAAGGGCCAGUUAACUGCUGGUCCGAUGACGGUACCUGAGAAGAAAGCCCCGGCUAACUACGUGCCAGCAGCCGCGGUAAUACGUAGGGGGCAAGCGUUGUCCGGAAUUAUUGGGCGUAAAGCGCGCGCANGCGGUUCUUUAAGUCUGGUGUAUAAGUGCGGGGCUCAACCCCGUGAGGCACUGGAAACUGGGGAACUUGAGUGCAGAAGAGGAGAGCGGAAUUCCCCCGUGUAGCGGUGAAAUGCGUAUAGAUGUGGAAGAACACCAGUGGCGAAGGCGGCUCUCUGGACUGGAACUGACGCUGAGGCGCCAAAGCGUGGGGGAGCAACCAGGAUUAGAAUACCGGGUAGUCCCCGCCGUAAACGAUGAGUGCUAGGGGGUUGGGGGGGGUCCCCCCUCCGGGCCCAAAUUAACACUUUAGCCCUCCGCCCGGGGGAAUACGCCCCCCAGGACGGAAACUCCCAGGGAAUUAGACGG
rnacentral:rRNA from 1 species